CAACGCUGAUCGUGGGUAGGUCCAGCAGAGAUUGUUCGUUCUCUACUUGGCGUGCUGGUGUUGUGGCUCUAAAGAACUGCCUAAGUAUGGGAUCCAGCUUUGUGUCACAGAGGAAAUGGAUUCCAGCUUCCUGGCUUGACACUGAGGGCUGGACCCUAGGCCCAGAAGAAAUCCAGAGUUGGAUUAGAAGUCUAGCUGGUAGCUGGUUGCCUAUACUGCACUUGGAUGAGGGCAAAAGGCAGCAGGAGAGGCACUCAAUGCCCCAUUCCCAGACGAGGAGGGCUUCUCUCAGCCCUCUCCUCGCUGUCUCUCAGCCUGGCCACACAAACCUAUUGGAGGCUACAAGAAAGACAGAUGACAUCAAGGCAAGACCUAGAAGCCAGCUGGGCAAGCAGAGGAACAGCGCGCUGGUUAAAGGAGCAAAGCAAACCAAACAGAACAAGACUGGAGAGUGAAUACACAGCUCUCAGCUCAAAGGGGAUCAGGAAAUGGAGGAUGGCAGGAAUCCUCAGAGCCACAUCCAGUGUUGCAGGGAAACAGAAAAGUAAACAAAGUGCCGUGGCCUCUCCCCACCCCACUACUGUGUGAGGAGGAAAACCAACGUGUACUACGAGCCCUGUAAGUUUCUAGUGGGAGGGACCCGUCAUUCACGAUGAUGGUUAUCAGUGUCUCUGCCUCAUUUGCAUGAGCAGGUUACCCACAGAUGAGAAAUUCCCAAUGGCAGCUGGCGUUGCCCCAUCAGUGAAGAACCACAGAUGCACAGGAUCACCUGACAUGGUGACAGCUUCGUUCAUCUUUUGAGGCAGCAAAAUUCAGGAAAUAAGUUAAUGCUGGAUAACGGAAGCCAGCUCAGCUGCUAAUGUCGAUCCCUCUGGUGUGACUCUUAGUCCUGUAGGGUCCAAAGUUAUCUUCAGUGUCAACCUUUGUCCUCCCUGAUGGGGGAGGGGGCAAGCCAACUUCCUUUGUGACUCUAUGUGCUGAGUCAAACAGCUGAACAGAGAGCUUACCCCCCGUCUUGACUCUUCCUGGUCCCACAUGUGCUAACCUAAGUGCUAACCCACGUUUGCCAAGGAGAGGCCUAUUGGAGGAAGUGUGUCCUCCCCCUCCUCCCCACUCCACACAUAGACUGUAUACUUUGGGGUCAAAUGAGCCCUGGUACCUGAAAGAUGAUGGGAAGUUAAGUUGACAAAGUCCUGUGAGAAUUAUAUAGUUGACAUGAGCAGAGCCAUGUUUUGGACACCAAUGCCUCAGACCUAUUCUAACCGCAAGGCCUUUCUCCAGUCUGAGUACAGAUGUUGACGGAAGUUGACCUUCGACCAAAACCUGUGCAUUCAGAAAGUACCGACCACAGCUUCCUCCCUGCAGAUGACUGUAGCCCGACACUGCUCCCUCACAGAGACCACCUAUGGAGAUAAGCUGAGCCAUCUCUUCAUCCGUGCUGUAUAUCAUAAACACAUUGAACUUCAGGACUACUGCUUGUAUGUCUCCAU
rnacentral:lncRNA from 1 species